UAGGGAAUCUUCGGCAAUGGACGAAAGUCUGACCGAGCAACGCCGCGUGAGUGAAGAAGGUUUUCGGAUCGUAAAACUCUGUUGUUAGAGAAGAACAAGGACGUUAGUAACUGAACGUCCCCUGACGGUAUCUAACCAGAAAGCCACGGCUAACUACGUGCCAGCAGCCGCGGUAAUACGUAGGUGGCAAGCGUUGUCCGGAUUUAUUGGGCGUAAAGCGAGCGCAGGCGGUUUCUUAAGUCUGAUGUGAAAGCCCCCGGCUCAACCGGGGAGGGUCAGUGGAAACUGGGAGACUUGAGUGCAGAAGAGGAGAGUGGAAGUCCAUGUGUAGCGGUGAAAUGCGUAGAUAUAUGGAGGAACACCAGUGGCGAAGGCGGCUCGAUGGUCUGUAACUGACGCUGAGGCUCGAAAGCGUGGGGAGCAAACAGG
rnacentral:rRNA from 1 species